GACGAACGCUGGCGGCGUGCUUAACACAUGCAAGUCGAACGGAAAGGCCCUGCUUUUGUGGGGUGCUCGAGUGGCGAACGGGUGAGUAACACGUGAGUAACCUGCCCUUGACUUUGGGAUAACUUCAGGAAACUGGGGCUAAUACCGGAUAGGAGCUCCUGCUGCAUGGUGGGGGUUGGAAAGUUUCGGCGGUUGGGGAUGGACUCGCGGCUUAUCAGCUUGUUGGUGGGGGAGUGGCUUACCAAGGCUUUGACGGGUAGCCGGCCUGAGAGGGUGACCGGCCACAUUGGGACUGAGAUACGGCCCAGACUCCUACGGGAGGCAGCAGUGGGGAAUAUUGCACAAUGGGCGGAAGCCUGAUGCAGCAACGCCGCGUGCGGGAUGACGGCCUUCGGGUUGUAAACCGCUUUCGCCUGUGACGAAGCUUGAGUGACGGUAAUGGGUAAAGAAGCACCGGCUAACUACGUG
rnacentral:rRNA from 1 species